rnacentral:rRNA from 1 species
UCCGUAACGAGCGCAACCCUGUCCUUAGUUACCAGCACGUUAUGGUGGGCGACUCUAAGGAGACUGCCGGUGGACAAACCGGAACGGAAGGUGGGGAGUGACGUCAAGUCAUCAUGGCCCUUACGGCCUGGGCGUACACACGUGCUACAAUGGUCGGUACAAAGGGUUGCCAAGCCGCGAGGUGGAGCUAAUCCCAUAAAACCGAUCGUAGUCCGGAUCGCAGUCUGCAACUCGACUGCGUGAAGUCGGAAUCGCUAGUAAUCGUGAAUCAGAAUGUCACGGUGAAUACGUUCCCGGGCCUU